AGGACGAACGCUGGCGGCGUGCUUAACACAUGCAAGUCGAACGGUGAUGCGGAGCUUGCUCUGCGGAUCAGUGGCGAACGGGUGAGUAACACGUGAGUAACCUGCCCUUGACUCUGGGAUAAGCGUUGGAAACGACGUCUAAUACCAGAUAUGACUUACGGACGCAUGUUCUGUGGGUGGAAAGAUUUUUCGGUUGGGGAUGGACUCGCGGCCUAUCAGCUUGUUGGUGAGGUAAUGGCUCACCAAGGCGACGACGGGUA
rnacentral:rRNA from 1 species